rnacentral:miRNA from 9 species
GCAAUGCAUCUGCAGUGCAAUU